rnacentral:rRNA from 1 species
UAGUUUUUUUUUUUUUUUUUUUUUUUUUUUUUUUUGUAAAAAUUUUAUUUUUGUCUAAUAAUUUUUUUUUAUUUGAUUAUUUUUAAUUUAGUUUAUUUGUACUGUGAAGGAUUUAAAUUUAUUAUUUUAGAAGAAUAAUUAUUUUUAGUACCUUUUGUAUCAGGGUUGAUUAACUUUUUUAAUUUAUUUUAUGUUCUCGAAGAUUAAGGAUUUAUUUUUUUCUGUAUUUUAUUGUUGAAUAAUAUAUUUAUAAGAAAUUAAUGGUUUUGAAAUGAAAUUCGUCUUUUUGUAUAUCUAGUUAUCUGGGAAUUUGAUUUAAUCAUGGAUAUUUAUUGAUUAAUUUUUUUUUUUUUUUUUCUUUUAAUUUCUAAUUAUUAGGGGGAUAAGCUCUUAAUAUUAAUAUAAGUUUUAUUUUUUUUUUAUUUUGUUGGAAUAGAGUCUUUUAUCAUUUUAAGUUCGUUAUAGAUUAAUAAUUUAUUUUCUGUUUCUUUUUAUUUUUUUACUGGAUUUUUUAUUAAUUUUUUUUUUUUUAAUAAUGAUUGAAUUAGUAGAUUUUUAAAUUAAGUAUAUGAACUCGGCAAAUUUAGUUUUCGCCUGUUUAUCAAAAACAUGUCUUUUAGUUUAUUUUAAAGGUUUGACCUGCUCAAUGAAUUUUUUUAAAUAGCCGCAGUAUUUUAACUGUGCUAAGGUAGCAUAAUAAUUAGUCUUUUAAUUGAGGUCUGGAAUGAAUGGUUGGACGAGAAACUUACUUUAUUUACUUUAUUUUUAUUGAAUUUUAUCUUUUAGUUAAAAAGCUUAAAUUUUGAAGUGGGACGAUAAGACCCUAUAGAUCUUUAUUAUUAAUGUAAUUUUUUUUUUUUUGAUUAUUUUUGUUUUUAUUAUUUUAUUAAUUUUGUUGGGGUGACAGUUAAAAUUUUAAACUUUAAUUUUUAUAUACAUUUUUUUAUGAUUUUUUGAUCCUUUUUUUUGAUUAUAAGAUUAAGAUACCUUAGGGAUAACAGCGUAAUAUAAUUGGAGAGUUCCUAUCGAUAAUUAUUUUUGCGACCUCGAUGUUGGAUUAAAAAUUUCUGUGGGGUAGGUUUUACAGUUUAAGGUCUGUUCGACCUUUAAAAUUUUACAUGAUCUGAGUUCAAGCCGGCGUGAGCCAGGUUGGUUUCUAUCUACUUUUUUUUUUAUUCUGAUUGGUACGAAAGGAUUUUUGGAAUGCAAUAUUUUGUU